CCUACGGGAGGCAGCAGUGAGGAAUAUUGGUCAAUGGGCGCAAGCCUGAACCAGCCAAGUCGCGUGAGGGAUGACGGUCCUAUGGAUUGUAACCCUCUUUUGUCGGGGAGCAAGGCCCGCCACGUGUGGCGGGAAGGAGAGUACCCGAAGAAAAAGCAUCGGCUAACUCCGUGCCAGCAGCCGCGGUAAUACGGGGGAUGCGAGCUGUAUCCGGAUUUAGUGGGUUUAAGGGGUGCGUAGGCGGAAGGUUAAGUCAGGGGUCAAAUGUCGGUGCUAAAGACCGGACUGCCGUUGAUACUGGUCGUCUUGAGUGAGCGAGAAGUAUGAGGAAUGCGUGGGGUAGCGGUGAAAUGCAUAGAUAUCACGCAGAACGCCGAUUGCGAAGGCAGCAUACCGGCGCUCAACUGACGCUGAGGCACGAAAGCGUGGGGAUCGAACAGGAUUAGAUACCCUAGUAGUC
rnacentral:rRNA from 1 species